CCUUGUACACACCGCCCGUCACACCAUGGGAGCGGGUUCUGCCCAGAAGUAGUUAGCCUAACCGCAAGGAGGGCGAUUACCACGGCAGGGUUCGUGACUGGGGUG
rnacentral:rRNA from 1 species